rnacentral:lncRNA from 1 species
AGUAAAAAAAAUUCUUUUUCUUCCUAGGGAGGACAUUGGAAUAGCUGGUUCGGGCUAGUAUGACGAAACACUCAUACCCCCGAAGCCCAAUGGUUUCUAAUUCCCCACUAGAGACACCAGUGGUUCCAGGUUCCACUCUAGAUGUGGGACGUAUGACUGGGAUUCCAAGGAAGGCAAAGUGGAGAAACUGGGUGACUCCGUGUUGCUGGAUCAAGCCAUGACUGAAGACAGUGCUUCAGGCUUUUUACUUGUAAGAGCAUUUUAUAAUUUACAUAUAUUUUAUUGAUAUUAUAAUAUGCAUAUUAUAUUUAUAAUUUAAGCCUGUUUGAGUCAUGUUUUCCAUAUUGAGCAACUGAAAAUACCCAGAUGUGCUCAGGAAGCCCUAAGGGGUUAUAGACAUUUGGCCCUUGCUUAUCUUUAGAUUGUCAAUUAAGACUUAAAGUGUUGUCGGUUUGUUACGUAUGUUACAUGGCAAAGCCAUUAGAGCUGGUGGCUGAGUGUGUAGAUCUUGCUUGUGUGGUAUGAAUAAG